rnacentral:rRNA from 1 species
UAAUACGUAGGUGACAAGCGUUGUCCGGAUUUACUGGGCGUAAAGAGCGCGCAGGCGGUCGAUCAAGUCGAGUGUGAAAGCCCCCGGCUCAACUGGGGAGGGUCAUUCGAUACUGAUCGACUCGAAGGCAGGAGAGGGUAGUGGAAUUCCCGGUGUAGUGGUGAAAUGCGUAGAUAUCGGGAGGAACACCAGUGGCGAAGGCGACUACCUGGCCUGUUCUUGACGCUGAGGCGCGAAAGCUAGGGGAGCAAACGGGAUUAGAUACCCCGGUAGUCCUAGCCGUAAACGAUGGACACUAGGUGUUGGUGGUAUCAACCCCGCCAGUGCCGAAGCUAACGCAUUAAGUGUCCCGCCUGGGGAGUACGGCCGCAAGGCUA